rnacentral:rRNA from 1 species
GACGAACGCUGGCGGCGUGCCUAAUACAUGCAGGUAGAACGCACAGUUUAUACCGUAGCUUGCUACACCAUAAACUGUGAGUUGCGAACGGGUGAGUAACGCGUAGGUAACCUGCCUGGUAGCGGGGGAUAGCUAUUGGAAACGAUAGCUAAUACCGCAUAAUAUUGAUUAUUGCAUGAUAAUUGAUUGAAAGAUGCUAUUGCAUCACUACCAGAUGGACCUGCGUUGUAUUAGCUAGUAGGUGAGGUAACGGCUCACCUAGGCGACGAUACAUAGCCGACCUGAGAGGGUGAUCGGCCACACUGGGACUGAGACACGGCCCAGACUCCUACGGGAGGCAGCAGUAGGGAAUCUUCGGCAAUGGACGAAAGUCUGACCGAGCAACGCCGCGUGAGUGAAGAAGGUUUUCGGAUCGUAAAGCUCUGUUGUAAGAGAAGAACGGGUGUGAGAGUGGAAAGUUCACACUGUGACGGUAUCUUACCAGAAAGGGACGGCUAACUACGUG